rnacentral:misc_RNA from 1 species
UCCGGGUUAAACCCGGCGGUCCCGCCAGCCGAACUGAAGAGAUCCAUCUCUGGAUCCCACACGGGGCAUGUCAAGGGCUGGUAAGGUUCUUCGCGUUGCUUCGAAUUGAACCACAUGCUCCACCGCUUGUGCGGGCCCCCGUCAAUUCCUUUGAGUUUUAAUCUUGCGACCGUACUCCCCAGGCGGGAGGCUUAAUGCGUUAGCUGCGCCACUGAACAGCAAGCUGUCCAACGGCUAGCCUCCAUAGUUUACGGCGUGGACUAC